UGUUCUGGAUGCUGGAGUUUAAGACACAC
rnacentral:sRNA from 1 species